rnacentral:snRNA from 1 species
UGCGCUUCUCAGCCUUUUGGCUAAGAUCAAGUGUAGUAUCUGGUAUCAGUUUAAUAUCUGAUACGCCCUCUGUAUGCAUAUUAAAUUGAUUUUUAGAACAGGGAGCUUGCUCCGUCCGCUCUACGUAUCGACCUGGAAUUGCAGUACCUCUGGGCACGGUGCACCUCCU